GCCUCCAUCGUCUUCUUGACUUAUCCUACCUUUUUGAAACCAUCGAAAUCACUCCUAUCUUCCACUCCACCACCUUUUUGAAACUGUUAAUUAAUCAUUGCAAUAGACGAUAUCUUCAUCCGUCUACCUUCCAUGUGUUCCCCACCAAUUCCGACGACUAUAUAUAUGAGACCAGAAGGAGAGACCAUAGCUCCUCACUAUUUCGUUUCUCUAUCUUCUGCUCUUAUGGCAAUAGUUUAAAAUGGCAAAUCCUCAAUUGCUUAUGGGGAUCGCUAUGGUUCUGGUAAACCGAGAAGUCCACGCUAAUUAAGGGGACCAGCUGUUUAUGUCUGUGUUUUUGAUGGUCUGGUCUCAGCUGUUGAGACGAAGGUGUUCGUCGCAACUAACGUCAAUUAUACUAUAAGUUUGUCGGAGAUCGUCUCUUCCUAAACAAUACGACAAAAACCCAUUUUACCUUUGACAAAUAAUGUGUUGUUGGACAAAAAUGCAUUUUUACUUAGCCUGCUUCUAUGCAGUUACUUUAAGCUUUAGUAAAGGUGAACUAGCAGACUCACCAGUAGUGGUUGUAUAACACAAACUCAUACAUCUUCUUGGGUCGAUGAAAACCUACACCAGGUCAGAUAUCUGAAAGCCUAAACUUUUUUACGUAUCUGAAUCCAUUAUCGUUUCCGGAACCUAAGAGAAAAGGGUUUCACUUUUAACCCAAGAGAAGCCAAUUAUCAUAUAUUGUAUGUCAAAGAUACCAGUGGGAUAUUUUGUUCUGGUUUGCUUAUACUAGCAGCCAUACUUUUUUCUUUAAGCUCUUUUUUUUUAUCAAUUGUUGUGCAUAAUUUGAAGGCACUGCAUACUUGAGAAAAGCUGCAUUAUACAAUGCAGCAAAUGUUUUUCUGUUAUCCCUAUUAUGUGAUCCCUCUUAUGUGUCACUUUACUUAUCUCUUGGUUGUUGACUAGGUGAAAACAUGGUCCUAUUUUUGAACAUGUUCUGCAGCAGCAUAAAGCUGGAGCUGGUGCACAAAGUCCAAAUGCAAUGCCAUGAGGAUGCAAUUUUUCCCAGAAAUAGUGAGGUCAUGACCUUUAGUCCUCGCUGAAGGCACCAUCCUCCAUUUGUUUUGAAAAGGAAUCUACUCAAAAGGACAGGUUAGUUCCAUAACAUUAUGUACAAACACUUCAUCAGGCAACCUGGUUUCAAACAAAAAUUAUUCGGUCUCAGAGCAUUUGGGUUGACGUUUGUGAAUGUUGCAGCAAAACCUUUGUGAAAAGCCUACAGCCAUUUUCUUCUGCACUCUGCUCUGUAUUUUUGUUUCUUUUCUACAGUCAAUAAUUUUAGAGUUCUAACUAUUCUAUCUAUCUUUAAACUCUAUUGCUUCUGAUGUUUUUGCUGCAGUCUUCUUUUACUGAUGUUUUGGCAGUAGUAUACAUUUGAUACUGUGUUUCCUUUUCAGUUGACUAUUUGUUAGUUUCUGACUUUGUAUAUCAGUUUUAAGUUGACGAUUCAUGGUAAAGCA